rnacentral:sRNA from 1 species
CCUUUAGAUCCCCCAGCGCCUGAGACAUGGAGACCUGGGAGGGACUGCCCCAUGAGUCCUUGGUGCCCACAAAUUCCAAGGCCCCUCAGGUACCAGAGCAUGUGUCCCAGUGGAGCAGCACCUCUUCUGUGUGGUGAGUGGACCGCUUACCCCACUAGGUGAAGAUGUCAGCCCAGGAGAGCUGCCUCAGCCUCAUCAAGUACUUCCUCUUCGUUUUCAACCUCUUCUUCUUUGUCCUCGGCAGCCUGAUCUUCUGCUUCGGCAUCUGGAUCCUCAUCGACAAGACCAGCUUCGUGUCCUUUGUGGGCUUGGCCUUCGUGCCUCUGCAGAUCUGGUCCAAAGUCCUGGCCAUCUCGGGAAUCUUCACCAUGGGCAUCGCCCUCCUGGGUUGUGUGGGGGCCCUCAAGGAGCUCCGCUGCCUCCUGGGCCUGUAUUUUGGGAUGCUGCUGCUCCUGUUUGCCACACAGAUCACCCUGGGAAUCCUCAUCUCCACUCAGCGGGCCCAGAAAGACACACCGACCUGGACCAAGGGAGACAGGCAUAAACAGCUCCAAAGGGAAACA